ensembl:lncRNA
CAAGAUUGAAUCUGUUUAGGCAGAUUUUGACCACAAAACUAGAGAACUAUGCACCAUGCAGCCCAGGCUUUCCUGGAACUCUUUCCUGACAUCUACCAGUGAGAUGAGGAUUGUACAAAGACCUACAGCGACUGAAAACCUACACAAAGUAAAAACUCAGCUAAGCGUCUCCAAGUAGGGAUCACACCUUGACCUCUCACUGUUUGGGCAAAUGAAACUUUUCCUGAAGAAAAAAUAUAUAUAUCAGUGUUUAAUGAGGAUCAAACCAAGGAACUUGGGCACAUUGGGCAAGGAGUCUCACAAUGAACUGCAUCCCCAGCCUUGAAUCUGAAUGAAUACGUGAAAGAUAGUUACCCCCAGCUAACCUGCACCGUCACAUGACCAAGAG